UGGGGAAUAUUGCACAAUGGGCGCAAGCCUGAUGCAGCCAUGCCGCGUGUGUGAAGAAGGCCUUCGGGUUGUAAAGCACUUUCAGCGAGGAGGAAGGUGGUGAGCUUAAUACGCUCAUCAAUUGACGUUACUCGCAGAAGAAGCACCGGCUAACUCCGUGCCAGCAGCCGCGGUAAUACGGAGGGUGCAAGCGUUAAUCGGAAUUACUGGGCGUAAAGCGCACGCAGGCGGUUUGUUAAGUCAGAUGUGAAAUCCCCGGGCUCAACCUGGGAACUGCAUUUGAAACUGGCAAGCUAGAGUCUCGUAGAGGGGGGUAGAAUUCCAGGUGUAGCGGUGAAAUGCGUAGAGAUCUGGAGGAAUACCAGUGGCGAAGGCGGCCCCCUGGACGAAGACUGACGCUCAGGUGCGAAAGCGUGGGGAGCAAAACAGGAUUAGAUACCCUGGUAGUCCACGCUGUAAAACGAUGUCGAUUUUGGAGGUUGUGCCCUUGAGGCGUGGCUUCCAGAGCUAACGCGUUAAAUCGACCGCCUGGGGAGUAACGGCCGCAAGGUUAAAAACUCAAAAGGAAUUGACGGGGGUCAUAGCUGUUUCCUG
rnacentral:rRNA from 1 species